GCGCAAAACCUUAUCCCAGACUUGACAUGUACGAAAGAGGCUGCAGGUAGAACCCGGAAACGGGAACGAACGGUAUCCAAUCCGGAAGCAGCUACAGGUGCUGCAUGGCUGUCGUCAGCUCGUGUCGUGAGGUGUCGGGUUAAGUCCCAUAACGAGCGAAACCCUUACCCUGAGUUGCUACCCUCUGGGGCACUCUCGGGGGACUGCCGGUGUCAAACCGGAGGAAGGUGGGGAUGACGUCAAGUCCUCAUGGCCUUUAUGUUUGGGGCUGCACACGUGCUACAAUGGCGUGAACAAAGGGAUGCGACUGCGCGAGCAGAAGCGGACCCCCGAAAACACGCCCCAGUUCAGAUCGCAGGCUGCAACUCGCCUGCGUGAAGCCGGAAUCGCUAGUAAUCGCGGGUCAGCAACACCGCGGUGAAUGUGUUCCUGAGCCUUGUACACACCGCCCGUCAAGCCACGAAAGCGCGG
rnacentral:rRNA from 1 species